UAAUGGCAGGUCAGCAUACUGCCGUGAAUACGUUCCCGGGCCUUGUACACACCGCCCGUCACACCAUGAGAGUUGGAAAUACCCGAAGCCUGUGAGCUAACAGUAAUGAGGCAGCAGUCGAAGGUAGAGCCAAUGAUUGGGGUGAAGUCGUAACAAGGUAUC
rnacentral:rRNA from 1 species